AGUGAACGCUGGCGGUAGGCCUAACACAUGCAAGUCGAACGGCAGCACAGGAGAGCUUGCUCUCUGGGUGGCGAGUGGCGGACGGGUGAGGAAUACAUCGGAAUCUACCUUUUCGUGGGGGAUAACGUAGGGAAACUUACGCUAAUACCGCAUACGACCUACGGGUGAAAGCCGGGGACCUUCGGGCCUGGCGCGAAUGAAUGAGCCGACGCCCGAUUAGCUAGUUGGCGGGGUAAGAGCCCACCAAGGCGACGAUCGGUAGCUGGUCUGAGAGGAUGAUCAGCCACACUGGAACUGAGACACGGUCCAGACUCCUACGGGAGGCAGCAGUGGGGAAUAUUGGACAAUGGGCGCAAGCCUGAUCCAGCCAUACCGCGUGGGUGAAGAAGGCCUUCGGGCUGUAAAGCCCUUUUGUUGGGAAAGAAAAGCAAUCGGUUAAUACCCGGUUGUUCUGACGGUACCCAAAGAAUAAGCACCGGCUAACUUCGUGCCAGCCGCCGCAGUAAGAC
rnacentral:rRNA from 1 species